rfam:Sporothrix schenckii ATCC 58251 unplaced genomic scaffold supercont1.2, whole genome shotgun sequence.
GGUCGGGUGGCCUAAUGGUAAGGCGUCACAUUUCGGCUGUGAAGAUUGGGGGUUCGAGCCCCUCCUCGAUCG